GAUGAACGCUGGCGGCGUGCCUAAUACAUGCAAGUCGAGCGAACGGACGAGAAGCUUGCUUCUCUGAUGUUAGCGGCGGACGGGUGAGUAACACGUGGAUAACCUACCUAUAAGACUGGGAUAACUUCGGUAAACCGGAGCUAAUACCGGAUAAUAUUUUGAACCUCAUGGUUCAAAAGUGAAAGACGGUCUUGCUGUCACUUAUAGAUGGAUCCGCGCUGCAUUAGCUAGUUGGUAAGGUAACGGCUUACCAAGGCAACGAUGCAUAGCCGACCUGAGAGGGUGAUCGGCCACACUGGAACUGAGACACGGUCCAGACUCCUACGGGAGGCAGCAGUAGGGAAUCUUCCGCAAUGGGCGAAAGCCUGACGGAGCAACGCCGCGUGAGUGAUGAAGGUCUUCGGAUCGUAAAACUCUGUUAUUAGGGAAGAACAUAUGUGUAAGUAACUGUGCACAUCUUGACGGUACCUAAUCAGAAAGCCACGGCUAACUACGUG
rnacentral:rRNA from 1 species